GCGGGUAUAGUACAAUGGCAGUACGUUUGGUUGCCAAUCAAAAUACACGGGUUCGAUUCCCGUUACCCGCUCCA
rnacentral:tRNA from 1 species